rnacentral:rRNA from 1 species
AACGUAGGAGACGAGCGUUAUCCGGAUUUACUGGGCGUAAAGCGCGUGCAGGCGGUUUAUUAAGUCACUUGUGAAAGCGCCCGGCUCAACUGGGCGAGGCCGUGUGAGACUGAUAGACUUGAGAGAGGUAGAGGCGAAUGGAAUUCCGGGUGGAGUGGUGAAAUGCGUAGAGAUCCGGAGGAACACCAGUGGCGAAGGCGGCGCUCUGGGCUGGAACUGACGCUGAGGAGCGAAAGCUAGGGUAGCGAACGGG